GAGUCUGUGAAUAAUGGUCAAAGCCUUUGUAAACCCUUAUCAUUCUCAUGCCUUCAAAUCUCGCCUCUCUCAACCCUCCCUAAACCCUUAUCAUUCUCACAGAUUCAUCUAUGAGAUUCAGAGCGAUUUCGAUUUCGAAGCUCCACCAUCACCACCAGCGAGGUAGCGAGCACCAUCGUUACUAAGAGAUUCAUCUUUGAGAUUCAAAGAUUCAGAUCGGUCUCAGUGAUUUUAUCUCAGAGCGAUUUCGAUUUUGAAGUUCUCUCUCUCGAUUUCGAAGCUCCAUCGCCACUGCCACCGCCACCACCAUUUGCACCAGCGAGUGAUGAACAGUCAAAGGGGCCAUAUGGUUUACUAGGUAUAAAAGUGGGGUUCUUAAAGAAUGAACAACGAGAACCUUGCAGGCAUGGACAAGCUUUUCAAAGAAUAGUCGAGGACCAGCUCUUGCUGGAAUGAAGGCUAAGUUCUGAAUGGGCAGGACCCCCCAAAUGGCAAAGGAAAAUAGAGGGAGGACCUUGACAAUCAUUUUUAGUUCAAGGGUGUGUGACAAUGUCGAGCUUGAAGUUGGGAACUUGAUACACAUUCACUCUCCAUGAGUGGCAUUUGCAAAGAUAACUUUCAAAAAGCCUCCAAUUCUACUACUAGAUGAGCCAUCGAAUCAUCUUGUGAGUCAUGAUGAACAUCUGAUAUCUGGAAGCGUGGAACAGCUGUGGGCGGUAUCUGAAGGGAAAGUGACACCUUUCGCUGGGACAUUUCAAGAUUACAAGAAGAUACUUCAGUCUUAGGAUGACUUGCAUUGUUUUUUUGGCUGGUAAGGUAAGGAUUAUCCUAGAAAGUUUUGUGAGAAUUAAAAUGUUGUGAGCAGCCCUUGUAGAAAACAAAGAGGUAGUGGAGUUAGUCCCACCAUUUCCGAGUCAUGAUACAGAAGAAUAUACAGCAUUUGUGAUGUUUUGUGGAUUUACUAAAUUGGGAAGAUGAUUAUGGAAGCUUGUGGAUACAAUCAAAAGUACAUGUUAAUUGUUCUCACAAGUUAUUGUGGACGUCCUACGUAACUGAUUCAGAUGUUUUCUCUUAAGUUAUAAGUUAUUUCAAUAUUAAUCGUGUACACCUUAUCAACAUGUUCUUUGGUGAAGUCAAUAUAACUAUAUAAACAAUAGUGAUUACAAAAUAAAUAAUUUUUGGAAUGCUUGGAGAAUAAACAGCAGUGAUUACAGGCAACAAUACCAUAGUUUUAUCUGGUGGAAGCUUUGAGAUGGGUUUUUUCAGCCUCGACAAUUCCCAGAAUACAUACUUUUGGGUACCUUGCUCCCGAGUAUUUCAUGUAUGGCAAAGUCAGUGACAAGGUCGAUGUGUAAUCUUUUGGAGUAGUUCUUCUUGAAUUGUUAUCGGGGAGGAAAGCGAUCACUUUUGACGCUGACAAGGGCCAAGAAAGCUUGGUCAUGUGGGCAAAAUUAAAACUAGAGACUGGAAAUCUAAGAAGCAUACUCGAUCUGAAUCUAGAAGGAAAUGUCGAUGAGACUCAAAUUUAGAGAAUGGGUCUUGCAGCCAGGCUCUGCCUCACAAGAUUAGCUCAGCUUCGUCCUAA